rnacentral:rRNA from 1 species
GACGAACCGAGCGAACAUUAUUCGGAAUCACUGGGCUUAAAGGGCGCGUAGGCGGGCCGUCAAGUCGAGGGUGAAAUCCCCCAGCUCAACUGGGGAAGUGCCUCCGAUACUGGCGGCCUCGAGGGGGAUAGGGGCAUGCGGAACUUCCGGUGGAGCGGUGAAAUGCGUAGAUAUCGGAAGGAACACCGGUGGCGAAGGCGGCGAUCUGGGAAGAUACUGACGCUGAGGUGCGAAAGCGUGGGGAGCAAACAGG